rnacentral:pre_miRNA from 1 species
AAUAAACCAAUUUUUUAUUUUUUACCUUCAAUUUUUGAUUUUUCGUCUUAUUCAAAUUUUUUUUACGAUUGAUAUUUUUGUUUUUAUUUAGAUGAUAAAUCAUAAAUAGUACUUUACGUGUGACUAAUUUUUUUCUAAUUUUCUGAAAAUUUUUCAAAUAAGACGGAUGGUCAACCGUUAGACACGCAAAUCAGAGAAUUCGUUUUUU